UCCCUGGUGGUCUAGUGGCUAGGAUUCGGCGCUUUCACCGCCGCGCCCCGGUUCGAUUCCCGGUCAGGGAA
rnacentral:tRNA from 1 species